AAGGAUGUUCCUGCUUCGCAUAUUGGUUACUUCAUAUCCCAUUUGGAGGCUGUCCUUCUGGAGCCUGGGAAGCAAACUCAGGACUGAAGGCUCUACUCUGAGACUCAGACAGUAGAAAAGACAAAACAGAAAAGGACCUCAACAGUUCAGCCAUUCUAUCAUCAACAAAAGUUUCCGAAUACCCUGGCACACAUUACAGAGGAAUUUUCUUGGCUUAAAAAAAA